rnacentral:rRNA from 2 species
GGACCCAGACUUUGAUCCUGGCUCAGGAUGAACGCUAGCUACAGGCUUAACACAUGCAAGUCGAGGGGAAACGAUAGAGAAAGCUUGCUUUUUCUAGGCGUCGACCGGCGCACGGGUGAGUAACGCGUAUCCAACCUGCCCAUCACUUGGGGAUAACCUUGCGAAAGUAAGACUAAUACCCAAUGAUAUCUCAAGAAGACAUCUGAAAGAGAUUAAAGAUUUAUCGGUGAUGGAUGGGGAUGCGUCUGAUUAGCUUGUUGGCGGGGUAACGGCCCACCAAGGCGACGAUCAGUAGGGGUUCUGAGAGGAAGGUCCCCCACAUUGGAACUGAGACACGGUCCAAACUCCUACGGGAGGCAGCAGUGAGGAAUAUUGGUCAAUGGGCGAGAGCCUGAACCAGCCAAGUAGCGUGCAGGAUGACGGCCCUAUGGGUUGUAAACUGCUUUUAUAAGGGAAUAAAGUGAGCCUCGUGAGGCUUUUUGCAUGUACCUUAUGAAUAAGGACCGGCUAAUUCCGUGCCAGCAGCCGCGGUAAUACGGAAGGUCCGGGCGUUAUCCGGAUUUAUUGGGUUUAAAGGGAGCGUAGGCCGGAGAUUAAGCGUGUUGUGAAAUGUAGAUGCUCAACAUCUGCACUGCAGCGCGAACUGGUUUCCUUGAGUACGCACAAAGUGGGCGGAAUUCGUGGUGUAGCGGUGAAAUGCUUAGAUAUCACGAAGAACUCCGAUUGCGAAGGCAGCUCACUGGAGCGCAACUGACGCUGAAGCUCGAAAGUGCGGGUAUCGAACAGGAUUAGAUACCCUGGUAGUCCGCACGGUAAACGAUGGAUGCCCGCUGUUGGUCUGAAUAGGUCAGCGGCCAAGCGAAAGCAUUAAGCAUCCCACCUGGGGAGUACGCCGGCAACGGUGCAACUCAAAUGAAUUGACGG